CAUUUUGAUAAGCAAUUGCCGUAAAAGGUACGUGUAGUAUAUGUAAAUCUACUUAUCACUUCACAGAAUAAAAGAGUAUGACAGCUGCACGAAGCAGGAUAGUUUGGCAACAGCUGCUAGUCUUUAUAGGAUUAGCUCUGUUUCAAUACAAUCUAGCUCAGAACUGCUCAGAGCAAUGCUGUUACUGAUAUCAGAGAGUACCUGGCAACAACAGUGACUGUUAUGUGUCAGAAGGUGGUACAGCUGUCUUAACAUGUGUAGUAUACGCUCCAUGUGAUAGUAAUAACACUUUACUGGCAACAGUAAUAUGGUACAGAAGUGAAUCUGUGGUCGAGGAUAUCUCUGAUAAGUAUGAAAAUUCUAUGACGCUCGCCACAAUUGCAGUUAAUUCUCCAAUCAAUGGACUCUUUUGAGAUAAUUAUAAACUAAUUAUUCGCAGCAUCAAUUCCUCAGACAGUGGUGUUUACUGGUGUCAUCUCUCAGCUGACAGGUUUUGCUUAAUGCCAUCAGCAUAUGUGAAUAUUACUGUCAAUACAAGCUUGAAUGGAAAUGGUUGUUCAAGUGUUAAUUAUAUGCGGAGUCCAGUUUGCGCACUAAACAACCCGUCAUCUUGUCAAGUUACACCAACUCCUCCCUUUUUGGUGAACAAUUCCACUCCUACAGUUAUGGCCAACAUUGCGUUAACUAGUUUAAUAUCUCCAGUAGCCAUUCCUCGAAUCCCGACAUCAUCACCAACCAACUCUUCAGUGUUGGUUGGUUCACUAUCAUUUAUCAUUGCUCUGCUAGCUGUGACACUACUCAUCACUAUUGUCAUCUUUGCAUUGGCCUGGAUGAGACGAGAUAAGAAGAACCAGUGUGAAACUUACAGAAAUAAAGGAGCUGCUACAAUAUUAGCGGAACAUCUAAAUGAUGGUGGACCAGUAGAGGAUCCUUACUACUCUCUGCCAUCUUCAUCUCAAGGAGCAAACCUGACUACUACUACCCCAACCAAAAACAAAACACAGUCGUACGAGGCAAUUGACAUAACGAAAGUGGACUACAUUAGUGUGUAUAGUGUACCGAAUGAACUUUAAAAAACACUUUUGGAGGUGUACAUGUUCCGUGGUUCGAUUGAACUCCUACUUAGUUAUAGAUUUACAACACUCCCAUGCUCUUUAGCAAUCAUUUUGUACCGAAGGCCUUAUUGUGUGUGUUUACCACGAGGUACAUACGUAGAGAUAUCUGACAAUGUCAUGGCUUCUAGAAAAGAAAUAUC